rnacentral:rRNA from 1 species
UACGGAGGGUGCAAGCGUUGUCCGGAUUUAUUGGGCUUAAAGGGUGCGUAGGCGGUUCUUUAAGUCAGUGGUGAAAUACUGCAGCUCAACUGUAGCAUUGCCAUUGAUACUGAAGAACUUGAGUACAGAUGAGGUAGGCGGAAUUUAUGGUGUAGCGGUGAAAUGCAUAGAUACCAUAAAGAACACCGAUUGCGAAGGCAGCUUACUAAGCUGUAACUGACGCUGAGGCACGAAAGCGUGGGGAGCGAACAGG